CCUACGGGAGGCAGCAGUGAGGAAUAUUGGUCAAUGGUCGGAAGACUGAACCAGCCAAGCCGCGUGCGGGAUGAAGGUACAGUGUAUCGUAAACCUCUUUUGUCAAGGAAUAAAGGCGAGUACGUGUCCUCGGAUGAGUGUACCUGAAGAAAAAGCAUCGGCUAACUCCGUGCCAGCAGCCGCGGUAAUACGGAGGAUGCGAGCGUUAUCCGGAUUUAUUGGGUUUAAAGGGUGCGCAGGCGGGUUGUUAAGUCAGCGGUUAAAGGUCCGGGCUUAACCCCGGACCCGCCUUUAAUACGGGCGGUCUCGAGUUGGAGUGCGGUAUGCGGAAUGUGCGGUGUAGCGGUGAAAUGCUUAGAUAUCGUGCAGAACUCCGAUUGCGAAGGCAGCAUGCCGGCUCCACACUGACGUUGAGGCACGAAAGCGUGGGGAGCGAACAGGAUUAGAUACCCCAGUAGUC
rnacentral:rRNA from 1 species